rnacentral:lncRNA from 1 species
CCAAUCGAGAUCUGUCAAUGCCAGUAGCAUGCCCACACUUCUUCAAUGAUGGAAGACCAUAAAGCUUAAUAUUGAUUGGAGAGGUUUAGGUUAGGUCAUAUCUAAUCAGUCAUCAUAUGAUUGAUCUAACUGGCAUAGGCUAAACUAAAAUACCUUAGCAACUAAUGAAUCCAAUCAUCUAAUUAGCUAGAUAAGACCUAAUCAUUCAAUUGGCCAGAUAAGUG